UACGGAGGGUGCAAACGUUGCUCGGAAUCAUUGGGCGUAAAGGGCGCGUAGGUGGUUCUGUAUGUCUACCGUGAAAGCGUACGGCUCAACCGUAUUUUGUCGGUGGAAACUGCAGGACUUGAGGCUGGGAGGGGCUGGUGGAAUUCCCUGUGUAGCGGUGAAAUGCGUAGAGAUGGGGGAGAACACUCGUGGCGAAGGCGGCCAGCUAGACCAGUUCUGACACUGAGGCGCGACAGCGUGGGGAGCAAACAGG
rnacentral:rRNA from 1 species